GAAGGAAUCCUGCAGGAUCUGCCCUCAGAGGGGGGAGAUCUCCUUGCAGAUCUGCUCCUGUAGAUUGUUUGGGGCAAGAGCUUUUGUGUUUGUGCAGCCUGGUGUAGUGAUUGGCAACCCUGCACAUAGUAGGGGGGUUGAAACUCUAUGACUAUUAUGGUCCUUUUCAACCCAGGCCAUUCUAUGAUUCUCUCAUCUCUUUGUCAACUUGCUCCAGCACUUUGGGAAGAAUAUCAGAGGAAGACUGUGAGAGUGCAAAGGGGAAGGAGGACACACAUGACAACUGACACACGCUACCUCUUUCCAGACCUGGAUAUAAAUGAGAAAAGCAUGGUUGCUGUGGUUUAUCCUGCUCUGUGAUCCUGCAGAACUGAUCAGCAGUUUGCUCCUGAACUGAAGGAAGG
rnacentral:lncRNA from 1 species